rnacentral:rRNA from 1 species
GAUGAACGCUAGCUACAGGCUUAACACAUGCAAGUCGAGCGACCGGCGCACGGGUGAGUAACCCGUAUCCAACCUGCCCGUUACUCGGGGAUAGCCUUUCGAAAGAAAGAUUAAUACCCGACAUAAUGUAUGGGGAUGGGUUCCAUUAGGUUGUUGGUGAGGUACCGGCUCACCAAGCCUUCGUUGGAUAGGGGUUCUGAGAGGAAGGUCCACCACAGUGGAACUGAGACACGGUCCAAACUCCGACGGGAGGCAGCAGUGAGGAAUAUUGGGCAAUGGGCGCUAGCCUGAACCAGCCAAGUAGCGUGAAGGAUGAAGGCUUUUGGGUCGUAAACUUCUUUUAUAUAAGAAUAUGUAUUAUAUGAAUAAGGAUCGGCUAACUCCGUGCCAGCAGCCGCGGUAAUUC